UGCAAGUCGAACGGAGCUAUAAUGGAAGCUGCUUCGCCUUAAGCUUAGUGGCGGACGGGUGAGUAACGCGUGAGCAACCUGCCUCCGAGUGGGGAAUAACAUCGAGAAAUCGGUGCUAAUACCGCAUAACAUCGGAGGACCGCAUGAUCUUCCGAUCAAAGGAUUUAUUCGCUUGAGGAUGGGCUCGCGUCCGAUUAGGCAGUUGGUGGGGUAACGGCCUACCAAACCUACGAUCGGUAGCCGAACUGAGAGGUUGAUCGGCCACAUUGGGACCGAGACACGGCCCAGACUCCUACGGGAGGCAGCAGUGGGGAAUAUUGGGCAAUGGGCGAAAGGCCCUGACCCAGCAACGCCGCGUGAAGGAUGAAGGUCUUCGGAUUGUAAACUUCUUUGAUUGGGGAAGAAUAAAUGACCUACCCAAAGAACAAGCCACGGCUAACUACGUGCCAGCAGCCGC
rnacentral:rRNA from 1 species